rnacentral:rRNA from 1 species
AACGAACGCUGGCGGCGCGUCUUACCCAUGCAAGUCGAGCGGCAGGCCGCAAUGCCGAGAGCGGCGGACUGGUGAGUAACACGUGGAUAACGUACCCCGAUGUCCGGGACAGCCUGUAGAAAUAGAGGGUAAUACCGGAUAGAUCACUGUUUACGUGAGGUAGACAGCGGGAAAGGAGCUUCGGCUCCGCGACGGGAUCGGUCUGCGGCCCAUCAGCUGGACGGCGGGGUAAAGGCCCGCCGUGGCGAGGACGGGUAUCCGGCCUGAGAGGGCGGACGGACACAUUGGGACUGAGAUACGGCCCAGACUCCUACGGGAGGCAGCAGGUAAGAAUAUUCCGCAAUGGGGGGAACCCUGACGGAGCGACGCCGCGUGAACGAAGAAGGCCGGAAGGUUGUAAAGUUCUUUUCUGUCCGAGGAAUAAGUUUCGGAGGAAAUGCCGGGACGGUGACGGUAGGGCAGGAAUAAGCACCGGCUAAUUACGUG